rnacentral:rRNA from 1 species
CAAUAGCGUAUAUUAACGUUGUUGCAGUUAAAAAGCUCGUAGUUGGAUUUCUGGAGGGAGCGUCGACCCGUAUUUACGAGUGCGUGACGUCUCUGUCCAUCCUUGCGGGAAGGCACGGCAUUGAUUUGUUGUGUCGGAUCGCAUCAUUUACUGUGAAAAAAUUAGAGUGUUCAAAGCAGGCUUUCGCUUGAAUACAUUAGCAUGGAAUAAUAAGAUAGGACUUUGGUGCUAUUUUGUUGGUUGAGCCUAAAGUAAUGAUUAAUAGGGAUAGUUGGGGGCACCUGUAUUGCGUUGUCAGAGGUGAAAUUCUUGGAUUUACGAAAGACAAACAGCUGCGAAAGCGUCUGCCAAGGAUGUUUUCAUUAA